GUCUCUGUAGUAUAGUGGUUAGUACUCUCGCUUGUGGCGCAGAAGUCAUACCGCGAGCGACAUCGGUUCGAUUCCGGUCGGGGACA